UACGAAGGGGGCUAGCGUUGUUCGGAAUUACUGGGCGUAAAGCGCGCGCAGGCGGUCUUCCAAGUCAGUGGUGAAAGCCCGGAGCUCAACUCCGGAACUGCCAUUGAAACUGUGAGACUUGAGGAUGAGAGAGGUGAGUGGAAUUCCCAGUGUAGAGGUGAAAUUCGUAGAUAUUCGGAAGAACACCAGUGGCGGAAGGCGGCCCGCUGGGCAGUGGCUGACGCUGAGGCGGCGAAAAGCGUGGGGAGCCGAACAGG
rnacentral:rRNA from 1 species